rnacentral:rRNA from 1 species
GAUGAACGCUGGCGGCGUGCCUAAUACAUGCGAGUCGAGCGAACAGACGAGGAGCUUGCUCCUCUGACGUUAGCGGCGGACGGGUGAGUAACACGUGGAUAACCUACCUAUAAGACUGGGAUAACUUCGGGAAACCGGAGCUAAUACCGGAUAAUAUAUUGAACCGCAUGGUUCAAUAGUGAAAGACGGUUUUGCUGUCACUUAUAGAUGGAUCCGCGCCGCAUUAGCUAGUUGGUAAGGUAACGGCUUACCAAGGCAACGAUGCGUAGCCGACCUGAGAGGGUGAUCGGCCACACUGGAACUGAGACACGGUCCAGACUCCUACGGGAGGCAGCAGUAGGGAAUCUUCCGCAAUGGGCGAAAGCCUGACGGAGCAACGCCGCGUGAGUGAUGAAGGUCUUCGGAUCGUAAAACUCUGUUAUUAGGAAAGAACAAAUGUGUAAGUAACUAUGCACGUCUUGACGGUACCUAAUCAGAAAGCCACGGCUAACUACGUG